rnacentral:rRNA from 1 species
AGAACGAACGCUGGCGGCAGGCCUCAAACAUGCAAGUCUAGGGGGUGUAGCAAUACAUCACCGGCGGACGGGUGCGUAACACGUGGGAAUAUACCUUUUGGUUCGGAACAACGCAGGGAAACUUGCGCUAAUACCGAAUGUGUCCUUACGGAGAAAGAUUUAUCGCCAAAGGAUUAGCCCGCGUCCGAUUAGCUAGUUGGUGAGGUAAUGGCUCACCAAGGCGACGAUCAGUAGCUGGUCUGAGAGGAUGAUCAGCCACACUGGGACUGAGACACGGCCCAGACUCCUACGGGAGGCAGCAGUAGGGAAUCUUGCGCAAUGGGCGAAAGCCUGACGCAGCCAUGCCGCGUGAAUGAUGAAGGUCUUAGGAUUGUAAAAUUCUUUCAGCGGGACGAUAAUGACGGUACCCGCAGAAGACGCCCGGCUAACUUCGUGCCAGCAGCCGC